rfam:Frankia sp. EI5c TG55_1124, whole genome shotgun sequence.
CUUCACCGAGCCGAGGUAGAGCGGCCGGUCGGCCGGCCGCUCCUGCCCGUAGGCGGCGAGCAGGGCCUGCGCCUC